rnacentral:lncRNA from 1 species
CAUGGUGUUUUGUGUCGUACUUGUUGACUUCCGCAGACGACGCGGCUCUCGAAUGUUGCACGUUACGUUCGCAAUAAUCCGACGAAAUUCUAGUCGUCGUUAAGAUACAUUUUGAUUGUACGAAUGGAUUUAUCGUAACGACAACACUAUCGACGUUUUUUAAUAAACAGAAGAUCAGGUUCUAGAACUCGUCUUGAUCUGGCCAUCUCGGAACAGG